GAUCAUGGCUCAGGAUGAACGCUAGCUACAGGCUUAACACAUGCAAGUCGAACGGUAACAUAAAGAAGCUUGCUUCUUUGAUGACGAGUGGCGGACGGGUGAGUAAUGCUUGGGAAUCUAGCUUAUGGAGGGGGGAUAACUACGGGAAACUGUAGCUAAUACCGCGUAAUAUCGAAAGAUUAAAGUGUGGGACCUUCGGGCCACAUGCCAUAAGAUGAGCCCAAGUGGGAUUAGGUAGUUGGUG
rnacentral:rRNA from 1 species